rnacentral:rRNA from 1 species
GACGAACGCUGGCGGCGUGCCUAAUACAUGCAAGUCGAACGCAGUGGGGACGGGUGAGUAACACGUGGGUAACCUACCAUCAGAGGGGAUAACAGUUGGAAACAGGUGCUAAACCGCAAAUUGAUGGAGGGACCCGCGGUGCAUUAGCUAAUUGGUGGGGUAACGGCUUACCAAGGCCACGAUGCAUAGCCGAGCUGAGAGGAUGAUCGGCCACACUGGAACUGAGACACGGCCCAGACUCCUACGGGAGGCAGCAGUAGGGAAUCUUCGGCAAUGGACGAAAGUCUGACCGAGCAACGCCGCGUGAGUGAAGAAGGUUUUCGGAGCGUAAAACUCUGUUGUUGGAGAAGCGGUAUCUAACCAGAAAGCCACGGCUAACUACGUGCCAGCAGCCGCGGUAAUAC